GCUCGAGUGGCGGAAUAGGCAGACGCAACAGACUUAAAAUCUGUCGGGAUGUUGUCUCGUGCCGGUUCGAGUCCGGCUUCGAGCA
rnacentral:tRNA from 1 species